GGGGCCAUAGCUCAAUUGGGAGAGCGUCUGCCUUGCACGCAGAAGGUAGAGGGUUCAAAUCCCUCUGGCUCCA
rnacentral:tRNA from 1 species